AUCCAGCUUAUGAGUUUUAAUUAAGACGAAACGCGCGUCUUGGAU
rnacentral:hammerhead_ribozyme from 1 species